UACGGGGGGGGUAAGCGUUGUUCGGAAUUACUGGGCGUAAAGGGCGCGUAGGCGGGCGGCCCGGUCGGGGGUGAAAUCUUUCAGCUCAACUGGAAAAGAGCUUCCGAUACCGGCCGUCUGGAGGGAGGUAGGGGCAUGCGGAACUUCCGGUGGAGCGGUGAAAUGCGUAGAGAUCGGAAGGAACGCCGGUGGCGAAAGCGGCGUGCUGGACCUCUUCUGACGCUGAGGCGCGAAAGCGUGGGGAGCAAACAGG
rnacentral:rRNA from 1 species